rnacentral:rRNA from 1 species
GAUGAACGCUGGCGGCGUGCCUAACACAUGCAAGUCGAGCGAACAGACGAGGAGCUUGCUCCUCUGACGUUAGCCGCGGACGGGAGAGUAACACAAGGAUACUCUAUCUAUAAGACUGGGAUAACUUCGGGAAAUCAGUGCUCAUACCGGAUAAUAUAUUGAUCCUCAUGGUUUAAUAAUUCAAGACGGUUUUGCUGUCACCUCUCGAUGGAUGGGCGCUGCAUUAGCUAGGUGGUAAGGUAACGGCUUACCAAGGCAACCAUGCGUAGCCGAUCUGACAGGGUGAGCGGCCACACUGCAACUGAACCGCGGCCCGGACUCCUACGGUAGGCGGCGGUGGAGAAUCUUCCACAAUGGGCGGGAGCCUGACGGAACAAAGCCACGCGAGGUAUAAAAGGCUUGGGAUCGUGGUUCUCUGUUAUUAGUGAAGAACGAUAAUGUAAGUAACUAUACACGUGUUGACGGUACCUAAUGAAUAAGCCACGGCUAACUACGUG